rnacentral:misc_RNA from 1 species
GAUGAAGAACGCAGCGAAAUGCGAUAAGUAAUGUGAAUUGCAGAAUUCAGUGAAUCAUCGAAUCUUUGAACGCACAUUGCGCCCGUCAGUAUUCUGGCGGGCAUGCCUGUUCGAGCGUCAUUACGCCCCUCAAGUCCCCUGUGGACUUGGUGUUGGGGAUCGGCGAGGCUGGUUUUCCAGCACAGCCGUCCCUUAAAUUAAUUGGCGGUCUCGCCGUGGCCCUCCUCUGCGCAGUAGUAAAACACUCGCAACAGGAGCCCGGCGCGGUCCACUGCCGUAAAACCCCCCAACUUUUUAUAGUUGACCUCGAAUCAGGUAGGACUACCAGCUGAACUUAAGCAUAUCAAUAAGCGGAGGA